rnacentral:rRNA from 1 species
UGCAGUCGAGCGGUUGCACGGAGAUCGUGCUCGCAUUCGACGAGCGACGGACGGGUGAUGACUGUGAGGGAACCUGGCUGAUGGAGGUGGAUACCUACUGCAGACGGUAACUCCUACCGCAUACUGUCGGAGACCUGGUGGGGGACCUUCCUCCCUCUUGCCAUCGAAUGUGCCCCAUGGAAUUAGCUGUGGUGGGGUAACGGCUCACCUAACCAACCAUCCCUGGCUGGUCUGAAAGGAUGACCACCCUCACUGUAACUGACACACGGUACUCACUCCUACGGGAGGCAUGGUGAAUAAUUAUUGCUCAAUGGGCGCCUGAUGAUGCAUGCAUGCCGUGUGUGUGAAGAAUGCCUUCUGGUUGUAACUUUCUUUCGGGAGGAAGGAAGGCGUUUAGGUUAAUAACCUUGUUGAUUGACGUUACCCACUAAACAACCACCGGCUAACUCCGUGCCACCGCCCGCGUACAUAAGGGAGGGUGCAAGCGUUAAUAAUUAAUUACUGGGCGUAAAGCGCACGCAGGCGGUCUGUCAAGUAUGUAUGUGAAAUCCCCGGGCUCAACCUGACUGCUGCCAUUCACUACUGAGCUAGCUAUAGUCUUGAGGGAGGGGGGAAUUAAUCUCGUGGUGUAGCGAUGUGCUUGCGAUAUAGAUCUGGGAGGAAUACCGGUGAACGAAGGCGGCCCUGCCUGUGACUACUGA